ensembl:snRNA U6 U6 spliceosomal RNA
AUGCUCGCUUCAUCAGCACAAAUACUAAAAUCGGAACGAUACAGAGAGGAUCAGCGUGGUGCCCGCACAAGGAUGACACGCAAAUUCAUGAAGCCUUCUAUAUUUAA